rnacentral:rRNA from 1 species
GACGAACGCUGGCGGCGUGCCUAAUACAUGCAAGUAGGACGCAGUUGCGAACGGGUGAGUAACGCGUAGGUAACUACCUAUUAGAGGGGGAUAACUAUAGGAAACGAUAGCCAAUACCGCAUACUAGUAGAUGGCCCUUCGUUGUAUUAGUUAGUAGGUAGGGUAAUGGACUACCAAGGCACCGAUACAUUGACGACCUGAGAGGGGUAUCGGCCACACUGGGACUGAGACACGGCCCAGACUCCUACGGGAGGCAGCAGUAGGGAAUCUUCGGCAAUGGGGGGAAGCCUGACCGAGAAACGCCGCGUGAGUGAAGAAGGUUUUCGGAUCGUAAAGCUCUGUUGUUACGGAAGCGGUACUUAACCAGAAAGGGACGGCUAACUACGUGCCAGCAGCCGCGGUAAUAC